AUUUCAUUGUAUAAAAUUUUUUCAACCACUUAAUCCUUUCGUACUAAAGUGAUUUAUAAAUUAUCAAGAGAUAGAAACCGACCUGGCUCUCGCCGGUCUGAACUCAAAUCAUGUAAAAAACUUAAAGGUCGAACAGGCCUUCUUUUUAUAGCUGCUGCACUAUAAAGAUAUUUUAAUUCAACAUCGAGGUCGCAAACUUCUUCUUCGAUAUGAACUCUCAAAAGAAAUUACGCUGUUAUCCCUAAAGUAACUUGGUCUUUAAUCUUUAAAAAGGAUCAAUUAAAAAAAAACUCAUUUAUUAUUGUAUUAAGUUUAAGCAGUUAUUAUCAAUUAUACUUUCGUCGCCCCAACUAAAUAUAUUUUUAAGACUAAAUUUUUAUACGUUCAAUUUAAUAAAUUCUAAUUAAUAUAUAAAGCUUUAUAGGGUCUUAUCGUCCCCUUGAAAAAUUUAAGCCUUUUCACUUAAAAGUUAAAUUCUAAUAUAAUAGCAGAGACAGGGUUUCUCUUGUCCGGCCGUUCAUACAAGUUCUCAAUUAAAGAACUAAUGAUUAUGCUACCUUUGCACGGUCAGGAUACCGCGGCUCUUUAACAUUAUAUUAUGUCAGUGAGCAGGCCAGACUAUUAAUACCUUCAAAUAGACAUGUUUUUGAUAAACAGGCAGAGAAUUAAUUUGCCGAAUUACUUUACUAUUCCAAAAUAUUAUUAAAUUUUUUAUAUUAUUUUACAUAUAUUUUAUUAACACAAAUUAUAAUUUUACUAAUAAACUCAAUAUUUCUUAACAUUUAUUGCUUAAGAUAAUAGUCUAAUAAUUUUAAAAGUUAAAGUAAAUUAUUUUAAUUUUCCAUCUCAGUUAAAACACUCUCUUAUCUUGGCUACUUUUAAGCCUAGAAAAAUAAAUUACCUACCUAAACUAUAACUUACUACUUUUAGAAUAAGAAGCUAAUACCUCCUACUCUUAGCCUUUAAAUCAUUAUAAUUUAAAACCUAAAUUAUAUUUAUUUGUUAGACAACCAGAUAUUGUAAAGCUCGUAUAACAUUUCAUUUUUAAUUUUAUAUUUAAAAUUCUUUUACUACAGAAACUCUAUUAUAAAAUUAGCUAUAUUUACUUCGGGAUUAUUACUAAUAUUUAACUUAUUUGAACCCUCCCUGAUACACAAGGUACAAUUAUUUAUACUUACUAUCUUAAUUGUUAUUUUAAUUUUUCAUAAUUUCCCCUUCAGUACUUAUUAUCUAUCGCCUAA
rnacentral:rRNA from 1 species